UACGUAGGGGGCAAGCGUUGUCCGGAAUUAUUGGGCGUAAAGAGCGUGUAGGCGGCCAGAUAAGUCCGCUGUGAAAUCUCGAGGCUCAACUUCGAGCUGUCGGUGGAAACUAUCUGGCUAGAGUCCGGAAGAGGAGAAUGGAAUUCCUGGUGUAGCGGUGAAAUGCGCAGAUAUCAGGAGGAACACCAAUUGCGAAGGCAGCUCGCUGGGACGUAACUGACGCUGAGACGCGAAAGCGUGGGGAGCAAACAGG
rnacentral:rRNA from 1 species